rnacentral:pre_miRNA from 1 species
AAUAAGUGCAGUUUUGCACUAUUCACGUUCAACGUUUGACUGUCCGUCUUAUUUGAAAAAUUUAUGAAAAAAUUAAAAACAUUUAGUCACACAUAAAAUACUAUUCAUGUUUUAUCAUCUAAUAGCAAUAAAAAUACUAAUCAUAAAAAAAUUUCAAAUAAGACGGACGGUCAAACGUUGAACGUGAAUAGUGCAAAACUGCACUUAUU